AUUGAACGCUGGCGGCAGGCCUAACACAUGCAAGUAGAACGAGUGGCGGACGGGUGAGUAAUGUCUGGGAAACUGCCCGAUGGAGGGGGAUAACUACUGGAAACGGUAGCUAAUACCGCAUACCAUCGGAUGUGCCCAGAUGGGAUUAGCUAGUAGGUGGGGUAACGGCUAACCUAGGCGACGAACCCUAGCUGGUCUGAGAGGAUGACCAGCCACCCUGGAACUGAGACACGGUCCAGACUCCUACGGGAGGCAGCAGUGGGGAAUAUUGCACAAGUGGCGCGAGCCUGAUGCAGCCAUGCCGCGUGUAUUAAGGAGGCCUUGGGUUUGUAAAGUACUUUCAGCGAGGAGUCGUUACUCGCAGAAGAAGCACCGGCUAACUCCGUGCCAGCAGCCGCGGUAAUUC
rnacentral:rRNA from 1 species